GACGAACGCUGGCGGCGUGCUUAACACAUGCAAGUCGAACGGAAGGGCCCUGCUUUUGUGGGGUGCUCGAGUGGCGAACGGGUGAGUAACACGUGAGUAACCUGCCCUUGACUUUGGGAUAACUUCAGGAAACUGGGGCUAAUACCGGAUAGGAGCUCCUGCUGCAUGGUGGGGGUUGGAAAGUUUCGGCGGUUGGGGUUGGACUCGCGGCUUAUCAGCUUGUUGGUGGGGUAGUGGCUUACCAAGGCUUUGACGGGUAGCCGGCCUGAGAGGGUGACCGGCCACAUUGGGACUGAGAUACGGCCCAGACUCCUACGGGAGGCAGCAGUGGGGAAUAUUGCACAAUGGGCGGAAGCCUGAUGCAGCAACGCCGCGUGCGGGAUGACGGCCUUCGGGUUGUAAACCGCUUUCGCCUGUGACGAAGCGUGAGUGACGGUAAUGGGUAAAGAAGCACCGGCUAACUACGUG
rnacentral:rRNA from 1 species